rnacentral:rRNA from 1 species
UAUAUUCCACAAUGGAGAAAACUCUUAUGCAGCGACGCCGCGUGGGUGAAGAAGGUUUUAGGAUCGUAACGCUCUGCUGUAAGAGACGAACACGUACGGUAGUCACUUCCCGUACCUUGACGAUACCUUACCAGAAAGCCACGGUUAACUACGUGCCAGCAGCCGCGGUAAUACGUAGGUGGCAAGCGUUGUCCGGAAUUAUUGGGCGUAAAGCGCGCGCAGGCGGUCCUUUAAGUCUGAUGUGAAAGCCCGCGGCUCAACCGUGGAGGGUCAUUGGAAACUGGAGGACUUGAGUACAGAAGAGGAAAGCGGAAUUCCACGUGUAGCGGUGAAAUGCGUAGAGAUGUGGAGGAACACCAGUGGCGAAGGCGGCUUUCUGGUCUGUAACUGACGCUGAGGCGCGAAAGCGUGGGGAGCAAACA